GGGAGAGAGGCAGGGAUAGAGCGAGAGAGGAAAAGCAGGGAAACGUCACAUCUGGGCUGAAUUAGAAAGAAGUGUGAGUGGAUUUGACAAGCAGAUCUGCUUUCUAAACUUGGGGGAAGGAAUCCCAAAUUAUCCAGAGGGUUAGGGGGUGCAGUGCCCUGAAGCCCGGAGCCCCACAGCGGCGCUAACAUAUUCAAUGGCCUGAGGCGAGAGCCGGAGAAAGCGAGGCCGCCUGCAUACUGAUACCCAAACUGAACAGACAGUAAUUGGUGCAGUGCAGGAGAGGGGCGAGGAGGGCAUGCAUGGAAAGAUGAUGCCUUUGUUUCUCUGUGUGUCUGACACCCAGACUCCUCCUCCUCCUCCUCCUGCCAUCAUCAUCAGCCUACCCCCUCCUUCGCACACA
ensembl:lncRNA